rnacentral:rRNA from 1 species
UAAUACGUAGGGUGCAAGCGUUGUCCGGAAUUAUUGGGCGUAAAGAGCUCGUAGGCGGUCUGUCACGUCGGCUGUGAAAACCCGAGGCUCAACCUCGGGCCUGCAGUCGAUACGGGCAAACUAGAGUACUGCAGGGGAGACUGGAAUUCCUGGUGUAGCGGUGAAAUGCGCAGAUAUCAGGAGGAACACCGGUGGCGAAGGCGGGUCUCUGGGCAGUAACUGACGCUGAGGAGCGAAAGCGUGGGGAGCGAACAGGAUUAGAUACCCUGGUAGUCCACGCCGUAAACGUUGGGCGCUAGGUGUGGGGGCCAUUCCACGGUCUCCGUGCCGCAGCUAACGCAUUAAGCGCCCCGCCUGGGGAGUACGGCCGCAAGGCUA